rnacentral:rRNA from 1 species
GUAAAAAGUAGAAUAAUAGAUUUGAAAUAUUUAUUAUAUAGAUUUAAAGAGAUAAUCAUGGAGUAUAAUAAUUAAAUUUAAUAAAUUUAAUAUAACUAUUAAUAGAAUUAGGUUACUAAUAAAUUAAUAACAAUUAAUUUUAAAACCUAAAGGUAAACCUUUAUAUUAAUAAUGUUUUUUUUUUAUUAUUUUUAUAAUAAGAAUAAUUAUUAAUAAUAAUAAACUAAGUGAACUGAAACAUCUAAGUAACUUAAGGAUAAGAAAUCAACAGAGAUAUUAUGAGUAUUGGUGAGAGAAAAUAAUAAAGGUCUAAUAAGUAUUAUGUGAAAAAAAUGUAAGAAAAUAGGAUAACAAAUUCUAAGACUAAAUACUAUUAAUAAGUAUAGUAAGUACCGUAAGGGAAAGUAUGAAAAUGAUUAUUUUAUAAGCAAUCAUGAAUAUAUUAUAUUAUAUUAAUGAUGUACCUUUUGUAUAAUGGGUCAGCAAGUAAUUAAUAUUAGUAAAACAAUAAGUUAUAAAUAAAUAGAAUAAUAUAUAUAUAUAUAAAAAUAUAUUAAAAUAUUUAAUUAAUAUUAAUUGACCCGAAAGCAAACGAUCUAACUAUGAUAAGAUGGAUAAACGAUCGAACAGGUUGAUGUUGCAAUAUCAUCUGAUUAAUUGUGGUUAGUAGUGAAAGACAAAUCUGGUUUGCAGAUAGCUGGUUUUCUAUGAAAUAUAUGUAAGUAUAGCCUUUAUAAAUAAUAAUUAUUAUAUAAUAUUAUAUUAAUAUUAUAUAAAGAAUGGUACAGCAAUUAAUAUAUAUUAGGGAACUAUUAAAGUUUUAUUAAUAAUAUUAAAUCUCGAAAUAUUUAAUUAUAUAUAAUAAAGAGUCAGAUUAUGUGCGAUAAGGUAAAUAAUCUAAAGGGAAACAGCCCAGAUUAAGAUAUAAAGUUCCUAAUAAAUAAUAAGUGAAAUAAAUAUUAAAAUAUUAUAAUAUAAUCAGUUAAUGGGUUUGACAAUAACCAUUUUUUAAUGAACAUGUAACAAUGCACUGAUUUAUAAUAAAUAAAAAAAAAUAAUAUUUAAAAUCAAAUAUAUAUAUAUAUAUUUGUUAAUAGAUAAUAUACGGAUCUUAAUAAUAAGAAUUAUUUAAUUCCUAAUAUGGAAUAUUAUAUUUUUAUAAUAAAAAUAUAAAUACUGAAUAUCUAAAUAUUAUUAUUACUUUUUUUUUUAAUAAUAAUAAUAUGGUAAUAGAACAUUUAAUGAUAAUAUAUAUUAGUUAUUAAUUAAUAUAUGUAUUAAUUAAAUAGAGAAUGCUGACAUGAGUAACGAAAAAAAGGUAUAAACCUUUUCACCUAAAACAUAAGGUUUAACUAUAAAAGUACGGCCCCUAAUUAAAUUAAUAAGAAUAUAAAUAUAUUUAAGAUGGGAUAAUCUAUAUUAAUAAAAAUUUAUCUUAAAAUAUAUAUAUUAUUAAUAAUUAUAUUAAUAAUAUAUAUAAUUAUAUUAUAUAUUUUUUUUUUAUAUAAUAUAAACUAAUAAAGAUCAGGAAAUAAUUAAUGUAUACCGUAAUGUAGACCGACUCAGGUAUGUAAGUAGAGAAUAUGAAGGUGAAUUAGAUAAUUAAAGGGAAGGAACUCGGCAAAGAUAGCUCAUAAGUUAGUCAAUAAAGAGUAAUAAGAACAAAGUUGUACAACUGUUUACUAAAAACACCGCACUUUGCAGAAACGAUAAGUUUAAGUAUAAGGUGUGAACUCUGCUCCAUGCUUAAUAUAUAAAUAAAAUUAUUUAACGAUAAUUUAAUUAAAUUUAGGUAAAUAGCAGCCUUAUUAUGAGGGUUAUAAUGUAGCGAAAUUCCUUGGCCUAUAAUUGAGGUCCCGCAUGAAUGACGUAAUGAUACAACAACUGUCUCCCCUUUAAGCUAAGUGAAAUUGAAAUCGUAGUGAAGAUGCUAUGUACCUUCAGCAAGACGGAAAGACCCUAUGCAGCUUUACUGUAAUUAGAUAGAUCGAAUUAUUGUUUAUUAUAUUCAGCAUAUUAAGUAAUCCUAUUAUUAGGUAAUCGUUUAGAUAUUAAUGAGAUACUUAUUAUAAUAUAAUGAUAAUUCUAAUCUUAUAAAUAAUUAUUAUUAUUAUUAUUAAUAAUAAUAAUAUGCUUUCAAGCAUAGUGAUAAAACAUAUUUAUAUGAUAAUCACUUUACUUAAUAGAUAUAAUUCUUAAGUAAUAUAUAAUAUAUAUUUUAUAUAUAUUAUAUAUAAUAUAAGAGACAAUCUCUAAUUGGUAGUUUUGAUGGGGCGUCAUUAUCAGCAAAAGUAUCUGAAUAAGUCCAUAAAUAAAUAUAUAAAAUUAUUGAAUAAAAAAAUAAUAUAUAUUAUAUAUAUUAAUUAUAAAUUGAAAUAUGUUUAUAUAAAUUUAUAUUUAUUGAAUAUAUUUUAGUAAUAGAUAAAAAUAUGUACAGUAAAAUUGUAAGGAAAACAAUAAUAACUUUCUCCUCUCUCGGUGGGGGUUCACACCUAUUUUUAAUAGGUGUGAACCCCUCUUCGGGGUUCCGGUUCCCUUUCGGGUCCCGGAACUUAAAUAAAAAUGGAAAGAAUUAAAUUAAUAUAAUGGUAUAACUGUGCGAUAAUUGUAACACAAACGAGUGAAACAAGUACGUAAGUAUGGCAUAAUGAACAAAUAACACUGAUUGUAAAGGUUAUUGAUAACGAAUAAAAGUUACGCUAGGGAUAACAGGGUAAUAUAACGAAAGAGUAGAUAUUGUAAGUUAUGUUUGCCACCUCGAUGUCGACUCAACAUUUCCUCUUGGUUGUAAAAGCUAAGAAGGGUUUGACUGUUCGUCAAUUAAAAUGUUACGUGAGUUGGGUUAAAUACGAUGUGAAUCAGUAUGGUUCCUAUCUGCUGAAGGAAAUAUUAUCAAAUUAAAUCUCAUUAUUAGUACGCAAGGACCAUAAUGAAUCAACCCAUGGUGUAUCUAUUGAUAAUAAUAUAAUAUAUUUAAUAAAAAUAAUACUUUAUUAAUAUAUUAUCUAUAUUAGUUUAUAUUUUAAUUAUAUAUUAUCAUAGUAGAUAAGCUAAGUUGAUAAUAAAUAAAUAUUGAAUACAUAUUAAAUAUGAAGUUGUUUUAAUAAGAUAAUUAAUCUGAUAAUUUUAUACUAAAAUUAAUAAUUAUAGGUUUUAUAUAUUAUUUAUAAAUAAAUAUAUUAUAAUAAUAAUAAUUAUUAUUAUUAAUAAAAAAUAUUAAUUAUAAUAUUAAUAAAAUACUAAUUUAUCAGUUAUCUAUAUAAUAUCUAAUCUAUUAUUCUAUAUACU